rnacentral:rRNA from 1 species
UGGCUCCGGAGCAAUAAGGCGGAUGCGUCCGCGACGAGAGUACGGGGCGAAUAAGCAUCGGCUAACUCCGUGCCAGCAGCCGCGGUAAUACGGAGGAUGCAAGCGUUAUCCGGGAUUUAUUGGGUUUAAAGGGUGCGCAGGCGGCGCGAUAAGUCAGCGGUGAAAUGUACCGGCUCAACCGGUGAGCUGCCGUUGAUACUGUCGUGCUUGAGUGCGAGCGGCGCCGGCGGAAUGUGUGAUGUAGCGGUGAAAUGCAUAGAUAUCACACAGAACACCGAUCGCGAAGGCAGCUGGCGGGGACGUUACUGACGCUGAGGCACGAAAGCGUGGGGAUCAAACAGGAUUAGAUACCCUGGUAGUCCACGCAGUAAACGAUGAUGACUUGUUGUCGGCGACAGACAGUCGGUGACAAAGCGAAAGCGAUAAGUCAUCCACCUGGGGAGUACGAUCGCAAGGUUGAAACUCAAAGGAAUUGACGGGGGCCCGCACAAGCGGAGGAGCAUGUGGUUUAAUUCGAUGAUACGCGAGGAACCUUACCUGGACUCAAAUGUUGUCUGACCGGGGCAGAGAUGCCCUUUCCCUUCGGGGCAGACAGCAAGGUGCUGCAUGGUUGUCGUCAGCUCGUGCCGUGAGGUGUCAGGUUAAGUCCUAUAACGAGCGCAACCCCUACGUCCAGUUGCCAGCGGGUAGAGCCGGGGACUCUGGAGGGACUGCCGGCGCAAGCCGAGAGGAAGGUGGGGAUGACGUCAAAUCAGCACGGCCCUUACGUCCAGGGCGACACACGUGCUACAAUGGCCGGUACAGAGGGCAGCCACACCGCGAGGUGGAGCGAAUCUCGAAAGCCGGUCUCAGUUCGGAUCGGAGUCUGCAACCCGACUCCGUGAAGUUGGAUUCGCUAGUAAUCGCGCAUCAGCCAUGGCGCGGUGAAUACGUUCCCGGGCCUUGUACACACCGCCCGUCAAGCCAUGAAAGUCUGGGGUACCUGAAGUCCGUGCCCGCGAGGAGCGGCCUAGGGUAAAACAGGUGAUUGGGGCUAAGUCGUAACAAGGUAAAUCACUGCCGUCGUAUCUU